AGAGUUUGAUCCUGGCUCAGGACGAACGCUGGCGGCAGGCUUAAUACAUGCAAGUCGAACGGUUGUAGCAAUACAGCAGUGGCAGACGGGUGAGUAACACGUGGGAGCCUACCUAGGGGUACGGAAUAACUCAGGGAAACUUGUGCUAAUACCGUAUACGACCUCAGGGUGAAAGAUUUAUCGCCCCUAGAUGGGCCCGCGCUGGAUUAGCUAGUUGGUGGGGUAAAAGCCUACCAAGGCGACGAUCCAUAGCUGGUCUGAGAGGAUGAUCAGCCACACUGGGACUGAGACACGGCCCAGACUCCUACGGGGGGCAGCAGUAGGGAAUCUUGGACAAUGGGCGAAAGCCUGAUCCAGCCAUGCCGCGUGAGUGAUGAAGGCCUUAGGGUUGUAAAGCUCUUUCGCCAGGGAAGAUAAUGACGGUACCUGGAUAAGAAGCCCCGGCUAACUUCGUGCCAGCAGCCGCGGUAAUACGAAGGGGGCUAGCGUUGUUCGGAAUUACUGGGCGUUAAGCGCGCGUAGGCGGCAUUCCAAGUUGGAGGUGAAAUCCCCGGGCUUAACC
rnacentral:rRNA from 1 species